UCGGAGUUCAAUGGCUGCAAUGUCAUAAGCCUCAGCAGCCUCUUCUUCGGUGUCUGGCUUAUACAAGAGUAAACGUUGGUAUCAAUAGCACCAUCAUCAGUUUUGGUUCAUAUAAAUUGAAAUGCUAAAGAGACAAAUUUGAAGAUUGCGCACCGAAUGUUCCCAGGUAGAUGUCCUUGGCAUCCUUAAGGUCACCAACCCGACCAAUUCGAGCUUGCCACUUGCCAUCUUUCCGUCUUCUGGUCCGAAAUGCCACCAAAUUGCAACAGAAUCAUUGGUCAGUAGCGGACGCCAUCCUCAGUGUGCUAUAUAAAGAAACAUUCUAUUAUUCAGAAGGUGCAUGAAUGAAAAACCAACC
rnacentral:lncRNA from 1 species